AAAGUCGUAACAAGGUAACCGUAGGUGAACCUGCGGUUGGAUCAUUAGUAAAUUUGGGAACCCAUGUUCCUGAACACUGUGUGCACCAUUGUAUGUCCCUGGCGGAACCAGGAGGAUUGGUCUGGAGCUGUCCGCGGUAACGUGGGCGGUGUUGAUGGAUCAAGUCUCCCUCCGUCGAACGUUGAACCAACCCAUGUUUUGUUAUGUUUUGUCUGAUCUUGGUUUCUUAUUCUGUCGCCGAAAGGUGUUCAGUUGGAAUCUUUUAAAACAACUUUUGACAACGGAUCUCUUGGCUCUC
rnacentral:misc_RNA from 1 species